GAUGCCACCAGAAAGGCCACAUGAAUGUUUAUUACAUAGAAAAGAGGGAACGGCAGAAAAGGUUUCCAAAGCCAUAGUUCGGGGAUUUUAAAAAAACGCAAACUUGGAAUGUCAAAGAGAUGCCAUGCUUUAUACAUUUAUAAUAGGAAUCUAUAAAUAUGUACAUGGAGAUAUGUACACCGGUUUUUAUUUGUACGUUUCACUAUGUGUUCAGUAAGGGGUGCUUGAAUUACGCAUUUUAAAGCUAGCGGAACGCUGGAGAAAGGAACACUGCUCGGCCCCUAGAGGGCGCCGUGGAGUGGAGGCCCCAGGCUGCAAGAUUUGGGCCAAAGUCUAGAAGCUUCCCUGUGUCUGUGGUAUCCUCUCUUGGAACCAAGGAAGGCUCCAGUCAUUAGAACAGGGGCUGGAAAACCCUCUUGGCUGGAUAGCCCCCCAGGGGAAGCCUCUGGGGGUGGGGUGGACCCCACAGGAUAGAAGGGAGAUGAGGAAGCCCUGGGAGAUCAGAGAGUGGGUCUUGUUGGAGAACAACAGAAAUGUACCGUGAUUAGUUUACCCAAAAGAAGAGAGACCCAAACAAAGCCAAUCAUGGUAUGAAAAACUAUACAUCACAACACAACACUCAUCCGUAUGUAAAUUCAACUGAAACACACAGAACCAGUCUUGUUUCUAUGUAUGCUGCUUAAAAAAAAUAAACAAAUGGCCCCAUGUACAACAGCAUGGAACUUCGCCCAUGAAUGGGGCCAGCCAAGUGUCCCCAACAGGUGCCCAGGCGGCUUACAGGGCUAUCACUCUCUCCCUGCUUAGAAUAUGGGCCAAGCACUGACCCAGAAAGUGGGGUGGAUGUGACCUCUGACCCCCUUCUUUCCUCACGGGUGCCUAUACUGGGGUUGGUGGGAGGGAUGAGGGAGCAGAAGAGGAUCUCAGGAGAGAGGACUGUCGGCAGCCCCAUGAGAGUCCAGAAAGGGACCAUUGUCCCCUCUUCUCUGGGCAGACCCUCCACUCACUCCUACAAAAAGCCAAGCGGGGGCGGGUAGGGGGAUGAGCACAGCCGGGUGUGGGGAUGCGGGGGUGCUGAGCCUGUGGACCCCUAGAGGAAGAGGUCCAAGAGAGGAGACAGUGUGCACACCAGGGCCCUGGGGUGGGGACACUGAGGACAAAAGUGCCUCCAGCCAGGCCCCCGCCAGAGGGAGACGGCUCCUGGGGGAGGCACGGGGCCCCUUUGGAGAUGUUAAGUCCCAAUCCUGAGUCUCCAGACAGCCUGGCCUCACCCGGCAUCAAAGCAACUCUGGGAGUGCACGUGUGCGGGUGUGAGUGUGUGCACAGGCUACGCCCGGGACCUGCUCCACCCACUUAGGUGUCCACACGUGUGUGGUUGUCUGUGCUUCUGCCCACUCUAGGGUGAAAGUGUGGGGGCGGGGGUGGCCGGCAUGGCUGGCAUUUGGGAGGGCUUGGGAACAGAGGUUCCACAGCCAGUGACAACUUGUACCAGAAAUCAGGACACACACAGGCAGGACUCUGUCAUCAACCUCCCUGCUCUGUGAUAGGCUCAGGAAGGCAGAGUGGACUCGGGGGACAAGUGUUCCUGUUUUACUGGAAAGAGCCCUGCCCCUUGAGCCCCUGGGGCCUGCAACAGGACAGAACAGCCUCUGCUACUCCUUGUCCCUUGCCGGAGGAGACUCACUCCAAGCCCUUUGCUCUGAAAGAAAUGAAAACAAUGAUGGCUGCCCAGGCCCCUUGUUCCCAAGCUAUGGAUGGUUAAACUGAGGCACGUCUUUAAUUUAAAGAGCCAAGGUGGCCCCGAAGGAUCAGCCAGCUCCUUGCUUUCCUCCUUGGAAGGCCUCUGGAAGGCAUCCUCCUGGUCCGGUGGGUGGAGUCAGCACCUCCUUCUGAAGCCCCAGGCUUGUUGUUUGGGGUCUGUGUUUUGCUUUUCUAUCUGAGAUCUCAGUCCUGUUCCUCCAGGAGAAGACGUUAGUGUGUAGCUGGCUUUCUUUCUGUACUUCCUGUUAGUGUCGUUGCCGAGGCUCCUCAGCCCUGGUGGCAUCAUCGCAGUGUCUCUGAGUCACGGUGGAUCAGGGACGGGUACCCCGGGGCGGUCCUGCGUGUUGGACCAGGCAGUCCCCAGUACCAGCUCCAGCUGCAGCCACCAUUCUCUCACGGCAGCACGGGUCCCCUUCGGGCCUGCCUUCCACCAGGGAGUGAGGGUUUGCGGGCUACUCAGGAUGGUGACAGCAGAGUGGCACCCUACUACAUUUGAGGGGGCCAGGCCCCCUCAGAAAACCCUGUCUCUGCCACAGCCAUCCUCCUUCCUCUGGAGCAUAUGUUUGGGGGCCCGUGGCUUCCUCUCUUGGUGCCUCAGUUCUGACAUCUAAAAACUCGGCACAUUGACACCACCCGCUCCCCAGACCAUUCUAAGGGUUACAGGACAUAAAAUGCAGCACAAGAGUUCCUGUUGUGGCUCAUCGGUUAAUGAACCCAACUAGGAUCCAUGAGAAC
rnacentral:lncRNA from 1 species